GUAGGCAACCUGCCCUCAAGACUGGGAUAACUACCGGAAACGGUAGCUAAUACCGGAUAAUUUAUUUUGCAGCAUUGUGAAAUAAUGAAAGGCGGAGCAAUCUGUCACUUGAGGAUGGGCCUGCGGCGCAUUAGCUAGUUGGUGGGGUAACGGCCCACCAAGGCGACGAUGCGUAGCCGACCUGAGAGGGUGAACGGCCACACUGGGACUGAGACACGGCCCAGACUCCUACGGGAGGCAGCAGUAGGGAAUCUUCCGCAAUGGGCGAAAGCCUGACGGAGCAACGCCGCGUGAGUGAUGAAGGUUUUCGGAUCGUAAAGCUCUGUUGCCAAGGAAGAACGUCUUCUAGAGUAACUGCUAGGAGAGUGACGGUACUUGAGAAGAAAGCCCCGGCUAACUACGUGCCAGCAGCCGCGGUAAUACGUAGGGGGCAAGCGUUGUC
rnacentral:rRNA from 1 species